GGGGCUGGCGGUCCGGCUUGGGGGGGCCGCAGGAGCCACCCCGGAGCGGCGGACUACCGCCCAGGCGGCUGUGGCCAGGUUGGGCCGGAAGGUGACCGUGGCUAGGAUGGGCCGGAAGGUGACCGUGGCUACCUGUGCGCUCAACCAGUGGGCUCUGGACUUCGAGGGGAACUUGCAAAGGAUUUUAAAGAGUAUUAAAAUUGCCAAGAACAGAGGAGCAAGAUACAGGCUUGGACCUGAACUGGAAAUAUGUGGCUAUGGAUGCUGGGAUCAUCAUUACGAGUCAGACACCCUCUUGCAUUCAAUUCAAGUGCUGGCAGAACUUCUGGAAUCUCCAAUCACUCAGGAUAUCAUCUGUGACGUGGGGAUGCCUGUGAUGCACCGCGGUGUCCGCUACAACUGCAGAGUGAUCUUUCUCAAUAGGAGAAUUCUGCUGAUCAGGCCCAAGAUGGCCUUGGCCAAUGAAGCCAACUACCACGAGCUACGCUGGUUCACCCCAUGGUCCAGGAGCCGGCAAACAGAGGAGUAUUUUCUCCCUCGGAUGUUGCAGGACGUGACAAAGCAGGAAACCGUGCCAUUUGGAGACGCAGUGCUGGCCACCCGAGACACCUGCAUUGGGAGCGAGAUCUGCGAGGAGCUCUGGACACCGCACAGCCUGCACAUUGACAUGGGCCUGGAUGGCGUGGAGAUCAUCACCAAUGCCUCAAGCAGCCACCAUGUGCUGCGCAAAGCCCAGGCCAGGGUGGAUCUGGUGACCAUGGCCACCACCAAGAAUGGUGGGAUCUACCUGCUGGCCAACCAGAAGGGCUGCGACGGCGACCGUCUCUACUAUGACGGCUGUGCCAUGAUCGCCAUGAACGGAAGCAUCUUCGCCCAGGGGGCACAGUUCUCUCUGGAGGAUGUGGAGGUUCUGACUGCCACAUUGGACCUGGAGGAUGUCAGGAGCUACAGGGCAGAGAUCUCAUCCCGGAACCUGGCAGCCAGCAGGGUGAGCCCCUACCCCCGGAUCAAGGUGGACUUUGCGCUCUCAUGUGGCGAGGAUUUGCUGGAGCUGGUCUCUGAGCCUGUGCAGUGGAGAUACCACACACCUGAGGAGGAGAUCAGCCUUGGACCUGCCUGCUGGCUCUGGGACUUUCUGAGACGAAGCCACCAGGCCGGGUUCUUCCUGCCCCUGAGUGGCGGUGUGGACAGUGCGGCAACCGCCUGCAUCGUCUAUUCCAUGUGCUGGCAGGUCUGCGAGGCCGUGACAAGUGGAAAUCAGGAAGUGCUUGCUGAUGUCCAAGCCAUCGUGGACCAGAGCAGCUACAUCCCCCAGGAUCCCCGGGAGCUCUGUGGACGCCUACUGACCACUUGCUACAUGGCCAGUGAAAACUCCUCCCAGGAGACAUGCAGCCGGGCCAGAGAGCUGGCCCAACAGAUUGGAAGCUACCACAUUGAUCUCAGCAUUGACACAGCCGUGAAGGCGGUGGUGGGCAUCUUCAGCCUGGUGACGGGGAAGAGCCCUCUGUUUGCAGUCCAUGGAGGAAGCAGCAGGGAAAACCUGGCCUUGCAGAAUGUGCAGGCUCGGAUCAGAAUGGUCAUCGCCUACCUGUUUGCUCAGCUGAGCCUCUGGUCCCGGGGUGCCCGUGGAGGGCUGCUCGUGCUCGGAUCUGCCAAUGUGGAUGAGAGUCUCCUAGGGUACCUGACCAAGUAUGACUGCUCCAGUGCGGAUAUCAACCCCAUAGGCGGGAUCAGCAAGACGGACCUGAGAGCCUUCGUCCAGUUCGGUGUGGAGCGCUUCCAGCUUCCCGCCCUGCAGGGCAUCUUGUCAGCACCGGCCACCGCAGAGCUGGAGCCCUUGGCCAAUGGACAAGUGUCCCAGACGGAUGAGGACGACAUGGGCAUGACGUAUGCAGAGCUCUCUGUCUAUGGGCGACUCAGGAAGAUAGCCAAGACAGGGCCCUACAGCAUGUUCUGUAAACUCCUCAACAUGUGGAGAGACAUCUGUACCCCAAGGCAGGUGGCUGACAAGGUGAAGCAGUUUUUCUCAAAGUACUCCAUGAACAGACACAAGAUGACUACGCUGACACCCGCUUACCACGCAGAAAACUACAGCCCUGAUGACAACAGGUUUGACCUGCGGCCCUUCCUGUACAACACGGGCUGGCCUUGGCAGUUCCAGUGCAUUGAGAACAAGGUUCUACAGCUGGAGAGGAAGGCACAGCAGGACCUGGACAACCUGGACUGAUGGUCGCCGCCUGCCUGGAGGCCUCCCCUCUCCAGUGGCCCCAGUGUGGCCCAGAGUGGAGGCCACACUUCUGCCUGUCCAGAGCUGUAUGGAGCAUCAAGUUUUUGUUUUACUUUUGUUGGAGAGAGAGCCUAUCAUUCUAAGUCCUUGAAAUCAUCUAAAAUAAAGCAAGUGUCCUCUUUCCCCGAUAGGGAUAAGCUUUUCCUCCUUACACUUUAGUCAGAGCACAUAGCCCUCUGGGGUCAGGCUGUGACUCGGUGCCAUGACUGCCUCUCUGCAGGUGGAACCAGGACCAGGGUGGUAGCAGCCGGGCAGGGAGGGGUUGUCUGGGCAGAAAACAGGCAAGAGUCUCCCUUCCACCCACACCUGUCUUCCUGUCCCGAGUUCUGGGUUGGGACCUUGGUCACCUGCAGCCCAUGGUUCAGAGUGCAGUAGUGUCUGUCCUUCACCCAAACCUUCCACUGAGUCAGGUCCUGGCCUCGGACACAGGCAAAGCCAGGGGGAGCUAUCCAGCAGCAGCAGGGCUCUGGAAUUCUGCUAUCUGCUCAUUGGCACCCUUGUGAUCUGCACUGUGACCUUUCUUACUGUGUCCUUGCAUGGGACUUCUCUCACCACUUUCCCAUACACUAAGGACCCUGACCUGCUUUUCCCAUGCCACCAGCAAAGCCUAAGAUGUGACCUGCCCAGGCUGAGACAGUCCCUUCCCCUCCCAACAUAUGGCCGAGAUGGUACUGCCCAAUGCUGCUUCCCCUCCAUGCCUGAGUCUCACCGCCUCAGCAUCCAUACUUGCGGGGCAAGGCCAGGACAGCAGGGAGCCCCCCAGCAGGACUUUGUCUGAGCUGCGUCGCCAUCAUGGCUUCACUGCUUCAAGGAACUGGUUCUCCACUCUGCUUUGAAGAAUCGCCUCUACCUGGGUGGGCUAAGGCCCAGGGCCAGUUGGGGAAGUCCUGGGUCUCAGCUGACCCUGGGGCUUGGCAGGACGGAGACUACAUGCUGACACUAGGAGAACAAGCAGAGUCAAAAUCCGGAGGUGGUUGGUCAGUGACAACCAGCUCAGCUUGAGGCUACAUGUUGCUUUGAGCCAUGUUUCUGUGGUGGCUUGUGUAGGCCCGAGGGAAGCCUGGGCAGUUAUGGCCCUUGCUGAAGGCCCAGCCUUGGUCACAGCCACAACAGUCAGCCUAGCUCUGCACACAUUUCUGGGAUCUAGGACAUGUUGCAAACUCUGGGAUCCCGAACUUCCCCUGUGCAAAUCAUCAGAAGCCUCACCAAGUAAAGUCAUGAGCAGGACAAGACGAGUAACUGUCUCAACACACUCCUGGCUGACUCCAACCCACCACACCUGGCCAGUCCACCACCGCUGGGAUUAACCUGCAGCCUCCCCACUGGUCACCUGGUGGUUGAUUUUACCCAGAGGCCAGAUGGGCACCUCUGAGUCUUGCCAGCUCAACCACAGCAACUGAGAUGACGUCCCUGGACUACCUUGUCAUCUGGAAUGUGACUGCACCUAACUGCCCAGCAAAACCAGUGAUGCUGAAUGGGGAUCACACAAGAGAUUGGGCCAGAACUCUGGGUUCCCACCAUGAGUGCCCAGAUUCCUAAAAAGAGGAUUUGGGGCAGCUGAGAGGCCACAGUGGGAGCAAUGGCUUUGCACCCCUGUCCACCGUCAGUCAGCUCCAGUCUGGUCUGAAUCCUACCUGCUGUGUGACCUUUUGUUAAGCUUCUACCUCUCUGUGCCUCCGUUUCCACAUUUGUAUGAGUGUCAGUCAUGAAAGCACACAUAGGGUACGUAUUUCAGAGCCUGGGAUGGGGCAGGUGCU